CAUUGUAGCAUACAAGGCAUACGGCUCAGUAACGCGUAGUCAACCUAACCUAUGGACGGGAAUAACCUCGGGAAACUGAGAAUAAUGCCCGAUAGAACAUUAUGCCUGGAAUGGUUUAUGUUCCAAAUGAUUUAUCGCCGUAGGAUGGGACUGCGGCCUAUCAGUUUGUUGGUGAGGUAAUGGCCCACCAAGACUAUUACAGGUACGGGCUCUGAGAGGAGUAGCCCGGAGAUGGGUACUGAGACACGGACCCAGGCCCUAUGGGGCGCAGCAGGCGAGAAAACUUUGCAAUGUGCGAAAGCACGACAAGGUUAAUCCGAGUGGUUUCUGCUAAAGAAACCUUUUGUCAGUCCUAGAAACACUGAUGAAUAAGGGGUGGGCAAGUUCUGGUGUCAGCCGCCGCGGUAAAACCAGCACCUCAAGUGGUCAGGAUGAUUAUUGGGCCUAAAGCAUCCGUAGCCGGCUCUGUAAGUUUUCGGUUAAAUCUGUACGCUCAACGUACAGGCUGCCGGGAAUACUGCAGAGCUAGGGAGUGGGAGAGGUAGACGGUACUCGGUAGGAAGGGGUAAAAUCCUUUGAUCUAUUGAUGACCACCUGUGGCGAAGGCGGUCUACCAGAACACGUCCGACGGUGAGGGAUGAAAGCUGGGGGAGCAAACCGGAUUAGAUACCCGGGUAGUCCCAGCUGUAAACUAUGCAAACUCAGUGAUGCAUUGGCUUGUGGCCAAUGCAGUGCUGCAGGGAAGCCGUUAAGUUUGCCGCCUGGGAAGUACGUACGCAAGUAUGAAACUUAAAGGAAUUGGCGGGGGGAGCACCACAAGGGGGUGAAGCCUGCGGGUUCAAUUGGGAGUCAACGCCGGCG
rnacentral:rRNA from 1 species